rnacentral:lncRNA from 1 species
GAGUCCCGCUACCUGCAGAUUCAGAUGAUAAUGUUAACUGGAUGAGACUUACUUUCUUUUUUGUUUGAGUAGUCCAGGAAUAAGACAAUACUAAAUGGAUUCAACAUAUCAUAGCAGCUUAGUAAGUUACUAUUCAAAACCCAAUGGCAGAUUAUUAUUUGAUAUCUACACCAAUGAAGGUCCUAUUGAAGGUUUAUCUCUAGUCAACGACAUUUAUCCAUUCACUUCGACUGUCCCUAAAAC